rnacentral:rRNA from 1 species
GACGAACGCUGGCGGCGUGCUUAACACAUGCAAGUCGAACGGAAAGGCCCUGCUUUUGUGGGGUGCUCGAGUGGCGAACGGGUGAGUAACACGUGAGUAACCUGCCCUUGACUUUGGGAUAACUUCAGGAAACUGGGGCUAAUACCGGAUAGGAGCUCCUGCUGCAUGGUGGGGGUUGGAAAGUUUCGGCGGUUGGGGAUGGACUCGCGGCUUAUCAGCUUGUUGGUGGGGUAGUGGCUUACCAAGGCUUUGACGGGUAGCCGGCCUGAGAGGGUGACCGGCCACCUUGGGACUGAGAUACGGCCCAGACUCCUACGGGAGGCAGCAGUGGGGAAUAUUGCACAAUGGGCGGAAGCCUGAUGCAGCAACGCCGCGUGCGGGAUGACGGCCUUCGGGUUGUAAACCGCUUUCGCCUGCGACGAAGCGUGAGUGACGGUAAUGGGUAAAGAAGCACCGGCUAACUACGUG